GGCUCAGAUUGAACGCUAGCGGGAUGCCUUACACAUGCAAGUCGAACGGCAGCGCGGACUUCGGUCUGGCGGCGAGUGGCGAACGGGUGAGUAAUGUAUCGGAACGUGCCCAGUAGCGGGGGAUAACUACUCGAAAGAGUAGCUAAUACCGCAUACGAUCUAAGGAUGAAAGCGGGGGACUCGCAAGAGCCUCGCGCGAUUGGAGCGGCCGAUAUCAGAUUAGGUAGUUGGUGGGGUAAAGGCUCACCAAGCCAACGAUCUGUAGCUGGUCUGAGAGGACGACCAGCCACACUGGAACUGAGACACGGUCCAGACUCCUACGGGAGGCAGCAGUGGGGAAUUUUGGACAAUGGACGCAAGUCUGAUCCAGCCAUUCCGCGUGCAGGAUGAAGGCCCUCGGGUUGUAAACUGCUUUUGUACGGAACGAAAAGGUUUCUAUUAAUACUAGGAGCUCAUGACGGUACCGUAAGAAUAAGCACCGGCUAACUACGUG
rnacentral:rRNA from 1 species